rnacentral:lncRNA from 1 species
GCACAUCCAACUAACACUGGCAUGCAAUGAGCCAAGUUAAUCCACUAUUCUUGCCCUUCCUCCACGCUCUACUUGACCUCACCACUCCUGCAAGCCUGGAAGCUCUCGCAUGCAUUCAAUUCCACGCAAAGCAUGGCUCUCUCUAACUUACUCACGGAUUCAACUUCUCCCUCACUCCCUACACAUGGAUAUGACUAAGUCAGUGACUUGUAACUCAACUAAGUGAUAUGUCAACAACAAGAUUAAUCCUAACGGUGCACACCAUGCGGCUCAACAAAGUUUCUCGAACUUAGCAACGUAGAAAGGAUAACCCAACAGAUAAUGAGAUUAUGUAUCACAGUAUGGGACUGUGUCGCAUCCUCUUAAUGAUCCCGAUGCCUUUAAUUCCAAAUCCCAUCCAAAAUGUGUACUCUUCAAUUCCAAAUCCCAUC